rnacentral:rRNA from 1 species
AGAGUUUGAUCCUGGCUCAGAACGUACGCUGGCGGCACGCCUAACACAUGCAAGUCGAACGAAGUAGCAAUACUUAGUGGCGAACGGGUGAGUAUAAUGUGGGUAUCUGCCCUUUGGUCUGGAAUAACACGGGGAAACUUGUGCUAAUACUAGAUAAGCCUUUACAGGGAAAGCUUUAGCGCCAAUGGAUGAGCUCACACUUGAUUAACUAGUUGGUAGGGUAAUGGCCUACCAAGGUUGCGAUCAAUAGCUGAUCUGAGAGGAUGAUCAGCCACAUUGGGACUGAGACACGGCCCAGACUCCUACGGGAGGCAGCAGUGGGGAAUCUUGCACAAUGGGGGAAACCCUGAUGCAGCGAUGCCGCGUGAGUGAAGAAGGCCUUUGGGUUGUAAAGCUCUUUCGUCGGGGAAGAAAAUGACUGUACCCGAAUAAGAAGGUCCGGCUAACUUCGUGCCAGCAGCCGCGGUAAUACGAAGGGACCUAGCGUAGUUCGGAAUUACUGGGCUUAAAGAGCACGUAGGUGGUUAAAAAAGUUGGUGGUGAAAUCCCAAGGCUUAACCUUGGAACUGCCACCAAAACUUUUUAACUAGAGUGUGAUAGAGGUAAGCGGAAUUUCUAGUGUAGAGGUGAAAUUCGUAGAUAUUAGAAAGAACAUCAAUUGCGAACGCAGCUUUCUGGAUCAUUACUGACACUGAGGUGCGAAAGCAUGGGUAGCGAAGAGGAUUAGAUACCCUCGUAGUCCAUGCCGUAAACGAUGUGUGCUAGACGUUGGGAAAUUUAGUUCUCAGUGUCGCAGCAAAAGCGUUAAGCACACCGCCCUGGGGGAGUACGACCGCAAGGUUUAAAACUCAAUGAUUGACGGGACCCCGCCACCAGCAGUGGGAGCAAUGGUGGCUUUAGUUCGAGAUCGCGCAGAAUCCUCACCGACUUCUUGACAUGUUCGUUCGCGAACUUCUAGGAGAUUAAGUCUCGAUUCGGUCGACGAAUCUCAAGU